UGGGGAAUAUUGGACAAUGGGGGCAACCCUGAUCCAGCGACGCCGCGUGUGUGAAGAAGGCCUGCGGGUUGUAAAGCACUUUUAGUGGGGAUGAAAAGCCUGGAGCUAAUACCUCUCGGGUCUUGACCUAACCCACAGAAAAAGCACCGGCUAACUCUGUGCCAGCAGCCGCGGUAAUACAGAGGGUGCGAGCGUUAAUCGGAAUUACUGGGCGUAAAGCGUGCGUAGACGGUUUUGUAAGUCGGAUGUGAAAUCCCCGGGCUCAACCUGGGAAUUGCAUUCGAGACUGCAAGGCUAGGGUGCGGAAGAGGGAAGCGGAAUUUCCGGUGUAGCGGUGAAAUGCGUAGAUAUCGGAAGGAACAUCAGUGGCGAAGGCGGCUUCCUGGUCCAGCACCGACGUUCAGGCACGAAAGCGUGGGGAGCAAACAGGAUUAGAUACCCUGGUAGUCCACGCCAUAAACGAUGAGAACUAGACGUUGAGAGGGUAAGCCUCCCAGUGUCGUAGCUAACGCGCUAAGUUCUCCGCCUGGGGAGUACGGCCGCAAGGU
rnacentral:rRNA from 1 species